AUAUAUGAAAGGAGCUCUUCUUCAGUCCAGUCCUUGGCAGUUUAAGGGCUGGCACUCAGCUGCUGACUCGUUGGUUCAAAAACUCAUCAUACAUUUGCUAAAAGAAGUGGUGUUUUUCUGAUCCAACGAAGCAGGAGCCGAGAGGUUGGUUAUUGCUGUCACGUCUUGGACUGAAGGGAGCUCCUUACCUAUA